ensembl:lncRNA
GUGAGUUAUCAUGUAUACUAGUUGAACUAUGGAGCGCGUGGAUAAACGCAAAAGGGACCUAAAAUCAAGGCUUUACAAACUAUUAAAAUGGUGAAGCGCGUGAGCUGCAGUAAACAGUGGGGUGGGGCGAGUGUACGCUUGGCUCGUGCGUAACGGUGCACGAUACGCCCUGAACACCUACAUGAGGCGAACAGGGCGCGCGCAGAGGACUGAUUGAACGAGUACUUUUCAGGGACUCGUCACGAGAACCUCAUCCGGUUUCCGACUGUGAGAAGGGAAAAGAGUUGCAUUUCCAGUUAGUGAGUCGAGAGAUGGAGUUCUGCAACUUUUAAGGAGCUCGCCGCGCGCGAGUGUAAGAGAGAGACAGAGCGCGCGAGUGUAGAAGAGACAGAGCGCGCGCUCGCGACAGGAGACAGGUUAAGCUCGGCGAUGCCUUCUCUGCAUCAUGGCGCCGUGUUCAUUGGGGUCUUCCUCAUCGUCACAGGCGGCUCGACCGCCUUCUUGACGUCCAGCCAGAGCAGACUGCAGGCGUUCAGCCUGUGCUGCGUGGUGCUAGGUGCAGUCAUGCUCAUCCUUGGCCUCUUUUGGGCCAUGAACGGAAAGAGCCGCCAGGGCUCCUACACUAAUGAAUACACGCACGACUACGGGCACGUGCUGUUCAGCCCACCACCCGGGAGCCACUUCCCGGAGUCCCAGUCCGUCAUCUUGCACAGAACGUUGGAAAGGCAGAGACGAGGGCUGUACGGAGACGAUUUUGACUACCCUCCCAUGGAGCCAACAUGUUUCAGCCCAGCUGCUCGAGGGCCACCACCCCACUGGGAGAUGGAACCUCCACCUCCGUACGAAGUGGCCAUCAAAACGACAUGCAGCUCCACGAACAUGCGACGCAGUUACUCAGAUACACUGUUGCCCACUGAACCGCUCUUCAGUCGCUCCCGCGAGAUCAGCUUUGAAGUGUAAAGGUGCAUUCACACAUACAGAGACUCGCAGCGACAAGGCGACCGGAGAUGUUCAUUUUCAACGAGAGCUGGCGACAUGAGCAACGGCGACCUUUGGCGACCGGGUGUAGGCGUGUCCAGCAACAUGGCAAAGUUGAGAAAGGUUUAACUUUAUGCAACUUUGGAGAGACUUGGUGUAGCGACUGCCAAUGGGAGUGAAGACAGUAGAGUGCAUGUGAUCUGUAGCCACCCUUGCGUACCAGCAGAAGCAACGCCAUUGUGACAGUAGCCAAUUAGCUUAGUUUAAGAUCUUAGCGGGUUUAAAGCAAAAAAAUAAAAGAAAUAAUAAUGAAACACUCACUUUUUGUUGCAAACGAGCAAAAUCCCAGUGUAGCUCCUACCUUGGGUGAAGUAUCCGGUUUGUCGCUGCUUCGGCACCGGGAACGAGCAGCACCAAGCCGGACACUUCACCCAGGAAACACAGAGGCCACGGCCGAAGAGCUGCUGUCC